AGUUUGAUCAUGGCUCAGAUUGAACGCUGGCGGCAGGCCUAACACAUGCAAGUCGAACGGUAGCACAGAGGAGCUUGCUCCUUGGGUGACGAGUGGCGGACGGGUGAGUAAUGUCUGGGAAACUGCCCGAUGGAGGGGGAUAACUACUGGAAACGGUAGCUAAUACCGCAUAACGUCGCAAGACCAAAGAGGGGGACCUUCGGGCCUCUUGCCAUCGGAUGUGCCCAGAUGGGAUUAGCUAGUAGGUGGGGUAACGGCUCACCUAGGCGACGAUCCCUAGCUGGUCUGAGAGGAUGACCAGCCACACUGGAACUGAGACACGGUCCAGACUCCUACGGGAGGCAGCAGUGGGGAAUAUUGCACAAUGGGCGCAAGCCUGAUGCAGCCAUGCCGCGUGUAUGAAGAAGGCCUUCGGGUUGUAAAGUACUUUCAGCGAGGAGGAAGGNGUUGAGGUUAAUAACCUCANCAAUUGACGUUACUCGCAGAAGAAGCACCGGCUAACUCCGUGCCAGCAGCCGCGGUAAUACGGAGGGUGCAAGCGUUAAUCGGAAUUACUGGGCGUAAAGCGCACGCAGGCGGUCUGUCAAGUCGGAUGUGAAAUCCCCGGGCUCAACCUGGGAACUGCAUCCGAAACUGGCAGGCUAGAGUCUUGUAGAGGGGGGUAGAAUUCCAGGUGUAGCGGUGAAAUGCGUAGAGAUCUGGAGGAAUACCGGUGGCGAAGGCGGCCCCCUGGACAAAGACUGACGCUCAGGUGCGAAAGCGUGGGGAGCAAACAGGAUUAGAUACCCUGGUAGUCCACGCCGUAAACGAUGUCGACUUGGAGGUUGUGCCCUUGAGGCGUGGCUUCCGGAGCUAACGCGUUAAGUCGACCGCCUGGGGAGUACGGCCGCAAGGUUAAAACUCAAAUGAAUUGACGGGGGCCCGCACAAGCGGUGGAGCAUGUGGUUUAAUUCGAUGCAACGCGAAGAACCUUACCUACUCUUGACAUCCAGAGAACUUUCCAGAGAUGGAUUGGUGCCUUCGGGAACUCUGAGACAGGUGCUGCAUGGCUGUCGUCAGCUCGUGUUGUGAAAUGUUGGGUUAAGUCCCGCAACGAGCGCAACCCUUAUCCUUUGUUGCCAGCGGUUAGGCCGGGAACUCAAAGGAGACUGCCAGUGAUAAACUGGAGGAAGGUGGGGAUGACGUCAAGUCAUCAUGNCCCUUNCGAGUAGGGCUACACACGUGCUACAAUGGCAUAUACAAAGAGAAGCGACCUCGCGAGAGCAAGCGGACCUCAUAAAGUAUGUCGUAGUCCGGAUUGGAGUCUGCAACUCGACUCCAUGAAGUCGGAAUCGCUAGUAAUCGUGGAUCAGAAUGCCACGGUGAAUACGUUCCCGGGCCUUGUACACACCGCCCGUCACACCAUGGGAGUGGGUUGCAAAAGAAGUAGGUAGCUUAACCUUCGGGAGGGCGCUUACCACUUUGUGAUUCAUGACUGGGGNG
rnacentral:rRNA from 1 species